rnacentral:lncRNA from 1 species
GUGUUCGUGUGCAGAAGUUCCACACACUCUGAGCACAUCGACAUGUUUUUAAAGUGGAUUACAAGCUGUCUUUUAUUUUUAACUUUAAUUUAUCUCACGUAUACAGAUGCAGUGAAUGAUUUCAGAGCAACUGAAGGAGAAACUGUCUAUCUUCCCUGCCACUCACCCCCUAUUGACAGUGUACAAGUUUCUGUAGAGUGGACAAAGCAUAGUACAAACAGCACUACAAACCUCACAGUACAAACAGUACAAAUAGUGCAAAAUAUUUGUCAAUGGAUUAUUAAUAACAUUACUGGAUCUCUUACUGGUUCUCACACUGGAGACUGCAUUCCUCAUUUCAAUUUCAAAUUCAAAUUCAAGUGUCUUUUACACUAAGUAUAGAAAAUGUUCAGCUCAGUGACUCUGGUCAUUACAGCUGUAAAACAACAAGAGUAAUGCCACCACCAACAUUAGACAAUACCACAAAUGUGACACUCCAAGUUGAAGUUCGUCCACAUCUGUCUCUGCAGAAACUGAACAGCAGUAAUGUCACCUGUAUCCAUCUGCUCUGCUCUAUGGAGGGUCUGACGACUGAGCUGGUGAACUUCACCUGGAGCCAAGAGGGUCAAAGUUCACUUCAUCCAUUCACAUCUUAUGCCACGAACAGUGAGCUGCGUCUGUGUAAACCUGACUGGAGUGACGGAGACACAAUCACCUGUUACACCAGCUACUCAAGCACACAAACUCAAAGAAGUAUACACCUCACUUCACAGAAAGAUUCUGACAAAGAGCUCGAACAGAACUUUCCAGUUGUUUGCAUUGCCAUUUUCAGCUUCUUCAUCAUCUGCAUUGUUUUCAUCUGGAUACUGUUCUGCGUGUCCAAACAUAAGACCUCCAACUGAUGUGCGUGUGAUUUGGUUAGAAUCUCUAGUCCAGUUUUAAUUUGAUUUGAAUGUGAACUAAAUUUAGUGUCUGUAAAAGACUUGUGUCAUCCUGCAGAGUCUGACCUGCUGCCCUGGACCAUCAGCAUGAGAGCUUUAGAAGAGUAAACACGCUGUAAUAUUUUUUAAAAAUUAUACUUUUUUAUGAUGCUUUGGAUUACACUUUCUUAGACACGGCUGUUUUUGUUGUUUGUUUGUUUCCUAGAACUUUAAUGUAAGCCA